rnacentral:rRNA from 1 species
AGCUCCAAUAGCGUAUAUUAAUGUUGUUGCAGUUAAAAAGCUCGUAGUUGGAUUUCUGGAUUGAGCGGCUGGCCUUGCGCGCAAGCGUUCGUGUCGGCUUCGUUUCGGUCCAUCCUCAGGGGGACUUGCGCUGGCAUUAACGUGUCGGUGUUGGGACGCCUGUCGUUUACUGUGAACAAAUUAGAGUGUUCAAAGCAAGGUGUACUUGAAUACAUUAGCAUGGAAUAAUAAGAUAGGACUUUGGUGGUUCUUUUUGAUAUUUUGUUGGUUUGCACGCCAAAGUAAUGAUUAAUAGGAGCAGUUGGGGGUAUUCGUAUUCAAUUGUCAGAGGUGAAAUUCUUGGAUUUAUAGAAGACGAACUACUGCGAAAGCAUUUACCAAGGAUGUUUUCAUUAAUCAA